rnacentral:rRNA from 1 species
GUGCAGCAGGCGAGAAACCUCCGCAAUGCUCGAAAGAGCGACGGGGACUCCAAGUGCCUACGCUCAGCGUAGGCUGUUCCCGAGCCUAAAAGCUCGGGGAGUAAGGGCUGGGUAAGACGGGUGCCAGCCGCCGCGGUAAUACCGCAGCCCGAGUGGUGGCCGCUAUUAUUGGGCCUAAAGCGUCCGUAGCCGGCUCGGUAAAUGCCUGGGUAAAUCGUCUGGCCCAACCAGACGAAUUCCGGGUAGACUGCCGGGCUAGGGACCGGAGGAGGGAGAGGGUACUCCAGGGGUAGGGUGAAAUCAGCAAGGUGAGUUGCUGAUGUAACUUGCCUUGCAAGUCACAAUCCUGUAAUCCCUGGAGGACCACCGGUGGCGAAGGCGCUCUCCUAGGACGGUCCGACGGUGAGGGACGAAAGCCAGGGGAGCAAAACCGGAUUAGAUACCCGGGUA